GGGGAUUUAGCUCAGUGGUAGAGUGCCUGCCUAGCAAGCACAAGGCCCUGGGUUCGGUCCCCAGCUCCA
rnacentral:tRNA from 1 species